GCAUGGGGAGCGAACAGGAUUAGAUACCCUGGUAGUCCAUGCCGUAAACGUUGGGCACUAGGUGUGGGGGACAUUCCACGUUUUCCGCGCCGUAGCUAACGCAUUAAGUGCCCCGCCUGGGGAGUACGGCCGCAAGGCUAAAACUCAAAGGAAUUGACGGGGGCCCGCACAAGCGGCGGAGCAUGCGGAUUAAUUCGAUGCAACGCGAAGAACCUUACCAAGGCUUGACAUGAACCGGAAAGACCUGGAAACAGGUGCCCCGCUUGCGGUCGGUUUACAGGUGGUGCAUGGUUGUCGUCAGCUCGUGUCGUGAGAUGUUGGGUUAAGUCCCGCAACGAGCGCAACCCUCGUUCUAUGUUGCCAGCGCGUUAUGGCGGGGACUCAUAGGAGACUGCCGGGGUCAACUCGGAGGAAGGUGGGGACGACGUCAAAUCAUCAUGCCCCUUAUGUCUUGGGCUUCACGCAUGCUACAAUGGCCGGUACAAAGGGUUGCGAUACUGUGAGGUGGAGCUAAUCCCAAAAAGCCGGUCUCAGUUCGGAUUGGGGUCUGCAACUCGACCCCAUGAAGUCGGAGUCGCUAGUAAUCGCAGAUCAGCAACGCUGCGGUGAAUACGUUCCCGGGCCUUGUACACACCGCCCGUCAAGUCACGAAAGUUGGUAACACCCGAAGCCGGUGGCCU
rnacentral:rRNA from 1 species